rnacentral:rRNA from 1 species
AGUAAUGCUUGGGAAUCUAGCUUAUGGAGGGGGAUAACUACGGGAAACUGUAGCUAAUACCGCGUAGUAUCGAGAGAUGGAAGUGUGGGACCUUCGGGCCACAUGCCAUAGGAUGAGCCCAAGUGGGAUUAGGUAGUUGGUGAGGUAAAGGCUCACCAAGCCGACGAUCUCUAGCUGGUCUGAGAGGAUGACCAGCCACACUGGGACUGAGACACGGCCCAG